rnacentral:rRNA from 1 species
UUGCCUACGGGGGGCUGCAGUGGGGAAUUUUGGACAAUGGGGGCAACCCUGAUCCAGCCAUGCCGCGUGCGGGAAGAAGGCCUUCGGGUUGUAAACCGCUUUUAGCCGGAAAGAAAAGGCGGAGGCUAAUACCCUCCGUUGUUGACGGUACCGGCGGAAUAAGCACCGGCUAACUACGUGCCAGCAGCCGCGGUAAUCCGUAGGGUGCGAGCGUUAAUCGGAAUUACUGGGCGUAAAGCGUGCGCAGGCGGUUCGUGGUGGCUGAUGUGAAAGCCCCGGGCUCAACCUGGGAACGGCAUUGGAAACUGGCGGACUGGAGUGCGGCAGAGGGGGGUGGAAUUCCGCGUGUAGCAGUGAAAUGCGUAGAGAUGCGGAGGAACACCGAUGGCGAAGGCAGCCCCCUGGGCCGACACUGACGCUCAGGCACGAAAGCGUGGGGAGCAAACAGGAUUAGAUACCCCAGUAGUCGC